rnacentral:rRNA from 1 species
UACGGAGGAUGCGAGCGUUAUCCGGAUUUAUUGGGUUUAAAGGGUGCGUAGGCGGACUGUCAAGUCAGCGGUAAAAUUGAGAGGCUCAUCCUCUUCCCGCCGUUGAAACUGGUGGUCUUGAGUGGAUGAGAAGUACGCGGAAUGCGUGGUGUAGCGGUGAAAUGCAUAGAUAUCACGCAGAACUCCGAUUGCGAAGGCAGCGUACCGGCAUCCAACUGACGCUGAGGCACGAAAGCGUGGGGAUCAAACAGG